UACGGAGGGUGCGAGCGUUGUCCGGAUUUAUUGGGUUUAAAGGGUGCGUAGGCGGCCUGUUAAGUCCGGGGUGAAAGCCCGUUGCUCAACAACGGAACUGCCCUGGAUACUGCCAGGCUUGAGUACAGACGAGGUUGGCGGAAUGGACUGAGUAGCGGUGAAAUGCAUAGAUACAGUCCAGAACCCCGAUUGCGAAGGCAGCUGACUAGGCUGUUACUGACGCUGAGGCACGACAGCGUGGGGAGCGAACAGG
rnacentral:rRNA from 1 species